GACGAACGCUGGCGGCGUGCUUAACACAUGCAAGUCGAACGGUAAGGCCCUUCGGGGUACACGAGUGGCGAACGGGUGAGUAACACGUGGGUGAUCUGCCCUGCACUUCGGGAUAAGCCUGGGAAACUGGGUCUAAUACCGGAUAGGACCACUGCCUGCAUGGGUGGUGGUGGAAGGCUUUUGCGGUGUGGGAUGGGCCCGCGGCCUAUCAGCUUGUUGGUGGGGUGAUGGCCUACCAAGGCGACGACGGGUAGCCGGCCUGAGAGGGUGACCGGCCACACUGGGACUGAGAUACGGCCCAGACUCCUACGGGAGGCAGCAGUGGGGAAUAUUGCUCAAUGGGCGCAAGCCUGAUGCAGCGACGCCGCGUGAGGGAUGACGGCCUUGGGGUUGUAAACCUCUUUCAGCACCGACGAAGCGCAAGUGACGGUAGGUGCAGAAGAAGGACCGGCCAACUACGUGCCAGCAGCCGCCGUAA
rnacentral:rRNA from 1 species